GGUGCGCGGUUCCCUUCUCGCCACUUCCUUGUAUGGACAGUGGGGGACUCCAAAGCCCAGCUCAGGAGAGGCCCGAGCCCGGUACCCGGACGUGCUGGGGGAAGCACAAAAGGGCCGACAAGAAGGGGGUGGGGAAGACCGCCGGUGCAACGAGAUGGAGUGGGCUGGCACCUCAGGAGAACGAAUCGAGGGCGGCGGGCCCCCUUUGUUCUAAGUCUCUGCCAGCUUCAUUCCCUGUCCGGGACCCCAGAAGAUAGCAGAUCGUUUUCAGGGAGAGCAGAAGCCUCGAGGUCACAAAGACAGCCUCAUCCAGCCCCUUUCCUUCCCUCAUCUUGUGACAGAGCCCCCGAAAUGAAAUACGGAUUGCACCACUUUUCCUCUCUCGCAUAAGCAGAAGUGCCUCCUCCGUACCAUGGAGCACGAGGUGGCCGUCAGGAAGAAGGUGCGGGCUCCAUCUGACCGACGUGGAUUGCCAAGAUAAAGGAAAUGAAAACAUCAAGGUGCUGUAUACCAUGCUAUUUUUGAGAUCACAAAAUGAAUAUUCUGUGUAAGUAUGUUUGUAUACCCAUAGAACAUCUCUGGAAGGACACAAAAGAAAAUAGCAACAGUGUUGCAUCCGAUGAGAAGUAAGCAGUGAGGACAGGGUGGAAAGGAGACUUCCUUUUCACAGCGUCCUCCUUUGUACACCUUUGUGUGCAUUACCUAUGAAAAAACGACAAUCAAAAGAAGACUCCCUCCCCUUAAAGAGCUGGAAAGGCAGACAUGCAAACAAUUCCAAUACAAUGUGCUCAUUGUUACCAUUGAGAGUCUGAGGGUGGGGAGGGAGUGUAGAACAGAAGCCGUCUAAGUGGGGCUGUGGGUGUCCGUGAAUUCGGAAUUAUCACGGUGAAUGCUGGAACCUCGCUCAGCUCAGCGUCGCCGGGGCACAAAAAGCACAGUGAGAAGGGACCCGUGACGGAGCUGCAGGAACAGGCAGAGGCCAGAACGUGAACUGCCUUGUGAGCCACGCUGAGGAGUUCAGAUUUUAUCCUAAUAGGAAAUGGGCAGCUAUUAAAAGAAUUUUCAGCAGGGACUGACCUGUUCAGCUUUUGCUGUUUAGAGAGAUGGCUCUGGCAGGAACGUGAGGAUAGAUUAACAGAGGCAAGGAUGGGGCGGGGAGAAGCGUUUUGAGGUUAAUGCAAUAAUCUAGGUGAGCCGUGGUGAAUGGAUACCCCGGGCAAAGGGAGCAGGGAUGACAGGGGAGGAUUAAAUCUGAGACCCGAACCGGGCGGCGGCGUGUAUGGAGACCACGCACAAAGCCUGCCCUGCCGCGCUUGGCUUUCUCACACUGGCAUCCUCUGCACACGUGGGGCCCCAGACACCCAGCGGCUGGCUGGCCGGGUCCAGAGGGGCCCUUCCUGGUCUGCCUGCUUGCUCCUUGCCCCAGGCUCCUUGGCAAAGUGGGGCAGGGAAAAAAGAACAGAAGCUUCUCCCUCGACAUCCAACUCUUAGGUCUGUCUUAUUUAUUCCAUGCUCUCGCUCAGUUCGGGUCCUCAUUAUUUCUGAUCUGAACAGCUUGCUGCUUCCCUGGCUCGCCUCUCCCAACCCCCGUCUGCGAAGUGUCAAUCAAGCCAUCAGAUGAGCUGCUCAGCCUCAUAUCCUGCGCGUCUCUGCCCCAGGACACGAGCAGCGAUGGCUGACACACACAGGCAGCAAGGUGUAGGGCUGCUGGCUCUCCCUUUAAUAGUCUUCCGAGCCAGAACGGGCGUUAAAAUGGAAUUUGAGUGGGUACCUUCUCUCUGCCUGCCCCUGUCACGACAGCAAGGACGGGCGAGCCUGAGAGAAGGGGAAGCCUUCAGAAGCCGAUUUGCUUUUCAUUUCAAGGUUGGGCCGUGGCCAGUAUGUGCUUUCGGAGGAGCUGUUUGAAAUUCUUAACAAGAAGCAGAAUGCUUGAGUCCAGGAAUCCAGGGCAGGCUUGUGAAGUAGGGAUGGGGAAAUGGAAUUGUCAUUUUAUCUCUGAAGGGAUAUAUUAUAUUAAGCAAAGUGGAGGGGGAGGGGUACAGAGAUGCUCUGCAGCUUCCCUGGAGGAUUGAACAAUGGGAAAUGGGGGGGGGACAGCAGGAAGAACUGAGAUUAGAACAAAGAAUGAACUUCCCCAGGCCCUGGAACCAGUGACCAGGGAGAUUUGAAGGUCUGCUGACCCAGAGGAUGUCUCCUUCUUUUACAAAUUGUGAAUGGAUAUGCCAUUUUUAUAGAAUAGGAAACUAAUGAGCAUUAAGCUCAACUACCUCACCAAAUUCUCUUUAGAUCAUUUUUUUAUUUUUUUUUAUUAGA